CUGACCAGCUGUGUGUCCGUGUCCUAGAUUGAGAAACAGCCCUGCAGGCUGCCUGUAGUAGACACAACCACAAGCUGACUAAGCAGUCCUGUGCUCCUUGCCCAGGCCUAUGAAACAAUCUCAUGGGCCACCACCCACAGAAAUGCCCCCAGGCCAUUUGAGCAGCAAUGCAGAUAUGUCAUAGGUCUGAGAAAUAGCCUUGUGCCCAACCCAGGCAGCAGAGCAGUCAUACACCCAUGCCCUGGAUCUGAGAAAUAACCUGCGGGCCACCCCCAGCAGACGUGCCCCUGGGCCAGCCAAGCAGACUUGUGCCUACAUCCUUGGCGUGAAAAUCAGCCCCAUGGGCCGCCAAUGGCAGCCAUGUCCACAGGCCAAUCAAACAGUUGUGUACCAGCAUUCUGAGCCAGAGGAACAGCCCCCUGGACCAUCCUCAGCAGAUGUGUACUCACACCAGCCAAGAAGCCAUGUGAUCAUGCCUUGAGCCUGAGAAACCUCAGGGACCACCCACAACAAACAUGCCCCAGGCCAACUGAGAAACUGGGCAGCUGUGUCCUGGGCCUAAGAAACUCUGUGAAUCACCCAGAGCAGACACACCCUAGACCAGCCAAGCAGCUUUAUGCCUGCAUCCUAAACCAAAGAAAGCAUGUUGUGGGUCACCCCUGGCAGACACAUCACCAGGUCAGCCAAGCAGCUGUGUGCCCACACCCUGGGCUGAAGAAAGUCCCACAAACCGAGAUGCACCACGGCUUUGGUACCAACGGCAGCUCCAGCCGGGCCUGAGCUGUGCUGGCACCUCCCAGGAGACCGUUGCAGUCGGCCAGCCCCUUUCUCCAUGGUAACCAUGUGCGACCGAAAGGCCAUGAUAAAAAAUGCGGACAUGUCAGAAGAGAUGCAACAGAACUCAGUGGAGUGCGCUACUCAGGCGCUGGAGAAAUACAACAUAGAGAAGAACAUUGCGGCUCAUAUCAAGAAGGAAUGUGACAAGAAGUACAAUCCCACCUGACGUUGCAUCGUGGGGAGGAGCUUAAGCAGUUACGUGACACGUGAAACCAAACACUUCGUCUACUUCUACCUGGGCCAAGUGGCCAUUCCUCUGUUCAAAUCUGGUUAAAUGCAUGGACUGUGCCACACACCCAGUGAUCCACCCAAAAACAAGGACUGCAGCCUAAAUUCCAAAUACCAGAGACUGAAAUUUUCAGCCUUGCUAAGGGAACUCCUCGAUGUUUGAACCUUUGUUGUGUUUUGUACAGGGCAUUCUCUGUACUAGCUUGUUGUGGUUAUAAAACAAUUAGCAAAAUAGCCUACAUUUGUAUUUAUUUUCUAUUCCAUACUUCUGCCCCACAUUGUUUUCUCUCAAAAUCCAUUCCUUUAAAAAAUAAAUAUGUUGCAGAUGU